ensembl:lncRNA novel transcript
GGGUAUUGUUGAAAAGGUCGGAAGGACCAAGAUUAUGUCCGCCAGCCUAAGUGGGACGAACAACCAAGUUGUGCGAUGCAGCUUUAAAGGGGCUGGUGAUUGACAGAAUGGUGUAGUAGUAGAUGGGGUGGAGCCGCUGGGUGGGGUCGAGACUGGCAGCUGAGAGAUACCAAAAGGAAGAAAAAAGAAAACCAUUGCUCUUGAUAUUGCUAAUGCCGGGGGAGGUAAGCUAACGAGAAAGUAGGGAAAAGGAAGGUUUUAGAGUUCACCUCCACUCCUUCCCCUGGCUAACACUCUUUACACUCUUCUGCCUUCCCUUGAGAUAAUUAAAAUAGACUGUACACCGGCCCUAGUCGGUGCCCAUUCCCCCUAACUCUUCACUCAACUACGUGUGUAGUCCGAGGGAGUGAGGACCCCGGGUCCAAGAGCUCAAUCCCGGCCCCGCCCCGUCGGCCCAGGCCCCGGGGCUGGGAGGAGAGGAUGCCUUCGGAGGCGCAGAAUCCGAAAAUUUUGCUGAAGUUGCUUAUCAGAUUAAGAAGCUUUUGGGCUGAGAUGAUGCGGUUUUCUAGAUAUAGGAUCACUUCAUCUGCAAACAAAGAUGAUUUGACUUCCUCUCUUUAUAUUCGAAUACCUUUAUUUCUUUCUCUUCCUGAUUGCCCUGGCCAAAACUUCCAAUACUAUGUUGAACAGCAUUGGUGAGAGAGUGCAUUCUUGACUUGUGCCAGUUUUCAAGGUAUCUAAUUGUCUUUUUUCGCUGAGCAUACCAAAGAGAGUAACAAGUACAAAGUACUUGAUGUUUAAAGGAAUGCAGAAUAUCCAAUGCUACAAAAGGAACAAUGUAUCUGGAAUAAAAUGAGUGAAGGGGAUAGUGAUACAAGGAGAAGUUGAAAAGAGAUGUGGUUGGAGCUGGAAGCUGUUAUCCUCAGCAAACUAAUGCAGGAGGAGAAAACCAAAUACUGCAAGUUCUCACUUAUAAGUGGGAACUGAAUGAUGAGAACAUUUGGACAUGAAGCUGGGCAGAGAAAUCGAGCUGCAAAAUGACCUACAGAUAUUACAGUUUUAUUCUUGGAAAAUGGAGGUUGUCUAUUAGUGUGAUGGUAACAACCAACUAAUAAAAUUUGGAGACUAGACUGCUUGUCAUGUCUGGGGUUCACUGGAAAUCAAUGAUUCACUGGAACAAUUCUCCUGUCAAAAAAAAUGUGAGGUUUGUAACUUGCCCUAAGUAUAACAAGGGAUAUAUUUUAACAAAGGAUGUAUUUUUUCUUAAGAAGCAACCAUUUCUCAGCUUAUACAUAAUAGCAAUAAUAAAGUCUUUGACCC